UGGGAUGGCAUGUUUUUUAUCCCUGAUUUCACUGCUAAAGGAUGAUACUCGAUUUUUCCAGGUGAAUGAGUAUCUGAGACAGAAACAGAAUUGAUUAUGCAACAUCGUGAGCUUCAAAAGAUUAGAGGACAGCAGAAUUUCAGCUGCUGGAGUCCAAACAAGAGUCUUCCAGUAACCUCAGCAGUGAAACCUAGUGAAAAGCCAACUCUGAGGAGAGAAAUACUUGACCUCACCCAGCAGCAAACUGACCUGAUAGCCAAGUCAAGAGCCUUGCAAGAAAGGGAACAGCUUGACUAUACAACAGUCACACCCAGAAGUGAACUUGGGUGGCAAAAGAGUAGUAAUCAUUAUUUGAAUUCCAUUCUCCCCAGAGACUAAAAUAGUGGAGUAUAGUGGACUCCAAUUUUCUGAGACGGGUUGUGCUUUCUCAGUAAAUAUCACUUUGUAAAAGCUAAUUGACAUUAAGUGGCUAUUGAUGAUAUUGAGAAGAUAGUAAAUGCUGAUUGAAUUUAGGAGGAUAAACGUCAUGAACAAAAGUACUAGAGAAACCCCAAACCCCUAAAGAUUCCAGGAAUAGUAGUCUUGUUCUGGAGUCACUUGCCAGUGCAAGUGAGAGGCGAGAUACCUCAAAGACUAUGUGAGA